GGGAUGUGAGCCUCUUCUCUCUUGUAACUAGUGACAGGACGAGGGGGAAUGGCCUCACGUUGCACCAGGGGAGAUUUAGGCUGGACAUUAGGAAGUACUACUUUUCUGAGAGAGUGGUCAGGCGCUGGAAUGGGCUGCCCAGGGAGGUGGUGGAGUCACCAUCCCUGGAGGUGUUCAAGAAACAUUUAGAUAUAGCAUUGAGAAACAUGGUUUAGUGAGAUUAUUGGUGGUAGGUGGAUGGUUGGACUGGAUGAUCUUGUAGGUCUUUUCCAACCUAGCUAAUUCUAUGAUUCUGUGUUUUUAUGAUUCUAAGAAGAAAUUAAUGUGGAAGAAAAUAAGUAGUCAAAAAAUAAUUUCAACCACUUCCACAUCAUAUUCUUUGAAUAACCAUCAAGCAGCAUCCUGUAUGGAUAACAUCAAGAGAGAAAGAGUGAGCAAAAGAGAAACCAUUCAUUUCAGAGCCACAAAGCAGCGAAGAACUUUUGGAGGCAAUCGGUAAGAAUCAUAAUCUUUGAAAUGUCUCAAAACCUUUUUUAAAGGUAAGAUUAUAAUUUUAUUGCUGUAACUGAUAGUAGUAAUGUCUAUUUUGGAGCAAAUAUGCGCACUGAAAAUCAUAUAUUUGAUCUAUCUGUUACUAUCUGCUCAUAUUAUCUAACCAGAGUGAAUGUAAGUGUCAUGGUUUUAUGAUUUUGUUUACUGGUAUUCCACAUCAUAACAUCAUGUAGUGCACUGGUGUCAGAACCCUUCUUUUUUUUUUUUGGCUCAAAGCUUGCUUUCCGAGGUAUCUUUUGCGAUAAGACUCUAACUGACUUACCGAGGAGGCGAACGGUAGGUGUCGCCGUGUGGCAAUCAGCAUCACCUUGUGAACAUUUGAAAGCAUUUCCUUCAGAGCUGUUUGCCCCAGCAAGAGAGUGCUCAGGAGUGUUUACUGGUGGAAGAUCUGGCCUGUGACCAAGUAGCGCCAGCUUGGUAUGGGAGACUGGGGAAUGCUACCAUUGUAUCCUGUGAAAAACAGGAUGCAGGUGGGCACCUCCCUGCUCCCUCUUAUCUGCUGGCAAGACCCGGAAGAUGGGAACAAAGGAGUUUCUGCUGAGAUCCCAAAGCCAGAAGCUGCCACUCCAGAGAGAGCUGUCACUCCAAAGAGAGCUGACUCAACUGCUUUGAACUUAUAAAUAAGUUCUUACUGCUGUUGGAAGUGGUCGUCAACUGAAACGGUUGUCAACCGAAGCAGUCAUCUACCGAGCAACACCCCCUGACGACCCAUCACUACUGAAGAUCAACAUGUGCGCUACAAACAACGUUGGACCCAUGGUGGUGACUAUCUCUCUUGCUUUCUAUAAAGACUCCUUGCUUUUAACUCUUUUCUAUUGCCCACCUUCCCUUCCCCAUCUCCCUAAGCAACUAGGAUUUGUAAUAAACUGGUCGGGCUAACAUUUGACCCA
rnacentral:lncRNA from 1 species